UUUCCCUCCCUCUCUCCAUCUACCCCAAAAUCUUCCCACCGUUGACCACCAUGCACCACCCGCCACCAUCGACCACCACGUACGACCCGCCAUCGUCGUUCUCCAUCUUCGGCCAUCGUUCGUUCUCCAUCGUUCCGGCGACCAUUUUCGCACGAGCCCGCCACCGUCGUUCUCCAUCUCCGACAGAGCGACCGCCGACGAGGUCCCCCACCGUCUGACGACCCAUACCCAACCAUCGGCAGUCUUCUAGUUCCAGCCCUCUUCCAUCUCCGGCCGUCUUCUAGUUUCGGCAAACCAGCCUUUUUAUUUUUUUCAGCUACCGUGACCCAGCUCCACCACCGUCGACCACCACACACGACCCACCACUAGGUACUGCCAGGCGCCAUCUCCGACGAUCCAUACCCAUCUCUGUCUCCCUCCACGACGACCCAUCUCCAUCUCUUCCCACCGAACAGAUCCGACAAGCCCAACCAUCAAAAUAGUGUUAUCCUUUUAAGCAUCUCCACUGCGAGCUCCGUUCCCCCAACUCAGCCAGCCGCAUCUCUCUGUUUGCUGUCUCCACCGUUGAUGGAACCAAGAUUCCGGAUAAUGGUUCAUGGAACUUCAACUUCAUUGGGUGAAACAAGCACUUAGUAUGGAGUAUGGGGUGAAAGCUCGGGACACCUCGUGAAUAUUACCAUGAGGAACACAGGCCAACUCAUUUCCUGGAGUUCAGCAUCGUGGAGGAGGGAGAGAUGAUUACUGAAGGAGAUUGCAAAUAUAACCUUCUCUUAGAAGUUGAGACCAGCAGUAUCUUUCCAGAGGUUACAUACAACGCCAAAGUGCAUGUACUAAUAAUCUUAACUUGGAAGAACCUUUUUUGUUGUAAAAAUCGUGUAUCUUGAUAUGUUUGCAUAUUGAUGUGUGAGGUUAAGUUCUCUAAACUUUUUGCAUAUUGGUGUGUGCGAUUAAGUUUUGUAAACUUUUUAAGGCAGGAAAAGUAAAUGGAAU